UAAUUAUUGAAAUGUAUCAUUAACUUUUAUAUUAAUACAUUAGCCAUGAAAUAUAAUGGAGUAAUGGUAAUUUUCACCAUAAACAAACACAAAAUUAAAUUUUUUUAAAAACCUUGCGAAUAGGCUUUAUUUUACUACGGUAGGGUAAUAAGGCUUGCGGGUUAAACAUACUGGAAAUACUAAAUAGUUAUACUAUACUUAAUAAAAUUGGUAUUAGAGAUCAAUCAUCACUUAAAUUUAGCAACAAUACUUUUUAAGAUGUUGAUAAGAAUUAGAACAAUGAUUUUAAAUUAUUAAAUAUAAAACUAUAAAAAAUGUUUACCACUUACU